AUGGCUAGAGUGACUAGACCCG
rnacentral:ncRNA from 2 species